rnacentral:rRNA from 1 species
AAAUUGAAGAGUUUGAUCAUGGCUCAGAUUGAACGCUGGCGGCAGGCCUAACACAUGCAAGUCGAACGGUAGCAGAAAGAAGCUUGCUUCUUUGCUGACGAGUGGCGGACGGGUGAGUAAUGUCUGGGAAACUGCCCGAUGGAGGGGGAUAACUACUGGAAACGGUAGCUAAUACCGCAUAACGUCUUCGGACCAAAGAGGGGGACCUUCGGGCCUCUUGCCAUCGGAUGUGCCCAGAUGGGAUUAGCUAGUA